rnacentral:rRNA from 1 species
GCUNGUAUAAUGGUCAUGCAUGUUCCAUGGAAGCCCCGCACGCCAGCAUGUGUCCCGGUUCUGCCUCUGGCCAUGGGUCAAUAUGCUGGUGUCUGCAAGCAAGAGCAGCGCAAAACUUUUACACGUGCCUACGCACCAGAUGCUGUAUAAGCGGAAACUACAAGCUGCGAGCGGCAAAUAACAGUCCGUUGCUUUUGAUGUUAGCGAUAGGCUGGUAUAAGCAAUUAAGCAGCUUGGAGCUAAGACCUGGUUGCCUAGCUCUGCCAGCGGAUAAGUACCAGGGCUAGCUUUAAGUGAUGGCCUAAGUGUUAUUGGUUCCUUAAAGCGUCCUGUAGCCGGCCAGACAGGAUUCGACGGGAAAUUUGUACGCUCAACGAGCAGGCGUCUCGACGGAAACCCGCUGGUUGGGACCAGAAGACAUUGAGGGGCUCUUUCUAGGGGAGGAGUGAGAUCCUGUACUCCAUAGAAAGACCGCCUAGUGGCGUAAGUCUCUUGUGAGGAUGGAUCCUACGGUGAUGGACGAAAGCUAGGGUCACGAACCGGAUAAGACCCGGUUAGUCCUGCUUGUAACCAUUGCUUUGCUUCGGGUACACAGGCUCAGCCUUGUGCUGUGCCCUCGAAGACGAGAUCUGAUCGUUGGAAGUACUUCUGUAGGAUAAACUUACUGAAUUGGGGGUGACACGUCACUGAGGACUGCGGUUAAUUGGACUCACUCCGGACAUGUACUACCAUUGAAAUGCUUGUGAAGUCGCUGUGACUAUUUACUUAGGUUUCAGGUAGGAUGCCUCC